CAAGUCGAACGAGAAAGUCCCCUUCGGGGAAUGAGUAAAGUGGCGCCCGGGUGAGUAACACGUAGGUAAUCUACCUUCGGGUGGGGAAUAACNCAGGGAAACUUGCGCUAANACCGCAUAAUGCAGCGGCACCACAUGGUGACAGUUGUUAAAGCGGGGGAUUUUNGGAUCUCGCGCCUGAAGAGGAGCCUGCGGCGGAUUAGCUAGUUGGUAGGGUAACGGCUUACCAAGGCGACGAUCUGUAACCGGCCUGAGAGGGCGGUCGGUCACACUGACACUGACAUACGGGUCAGACUCCUACGGGAGGCAGCAGUCGGGAAUUUUGGGCAAUGGGCGAAAGCCUGACCCAGCAACGCCGCGUGAAGGAUGAAAUCCCUCGGGAUGUAAACUUCGCAAGAAUAGGAAGAAUNAANAAGCGCUAAUACCNUNNNUGAUGACGGUACUAUUUGUAAGCUCCGGCUAACUCCGUGCCAGCAGCCGCGGUAAUACGGGGGGAGCAAGCGUUGUUCGGAUUUACUGGGCGUAAAGGGCGCGUAGGCGGUCAGCACAAGUCAGUUGUGAAAUCUCCGGGCUUAACUCGGAAAGGUCAACUGAUACUGUGCGACUAGAGUGCAGAAGGGGCAACUGGAAUUCUCGGUGUAGCGGUGAAAUGCGUAGAUAUCGAGAGGAACACCUGCGGCGAAGGCGGGUUGCUGGGCUGACACUGACGCUGAUGCGCGAAAGCCAGGGGAGCGAACGGGAUUAGAUACCCCGGUAGUCCUGGCCUUAAACGAUGGAUGCUUGGUGUCUGGAGUUUUAUAGUCUCCGGGUGCCGUAGCUAACGCGUUAGCAUCCCGCCUGGGGAGUACGGUCGCAAGACUGAAACUCAA
rnacentral:rRNA from 1 species